ACCUUUCGGGGUGAGUGGCGGACGGGUGAGUAACGCGUGAGAAUCUGCCUAGAGGUCGGGGACAACCAUUGGAAACGAUGGCUAAUACCGGAUAUGCCUUACGGGGUGAAAGAUUAAUCGCCUUUAGAAGAGCUCGCGUCUGAUUAGCUAGUUGGUAGGGUAAAAGCCUACCAAGGCAUCGAUCAGUAGCUGGUCUGAGAGGAUGACCAGCCACACUGGGACUGAGACACGGCCCAGACUCCUACGGGAGGCAGCAGUGGGGAAUUUUCCGCAAUGGGCGAAAGCCUGACGGAGCAAGACCGCGUGAGGGAGGAAGGCUCUUGGGUCGUAAACCUCUUUUGUCAGGGAAGAACAAAAUGACGGUACCUGACGAAUCAGCAUCGGCUAACUCCGUGCCAGCAGCCGCGGUAAUACGGAGGAUGCAAGCGUUAUCCGGAAUUAUUGGGCGUAAAGCGUCCGCAGGUGGCUGAUCAAGUCUGCGGUCAAAGACCGGGGCUUAACCCUGGAAAGGCCGUGGAAACUGAUCAAGCUAGAGUACCGUAGGGGUAGAGGGAAUUCCCGGUGUAGCGGUGAAAUGCGUAGAGAUCGGGAAGA
rnacentral:rRNA from 1 species